rnacentral:rRNA from 1 species
AGUAACAGAGGGUUUGAUUAUGGCUCAGAUUGAACGCUGGCGGGAUGUUUACACAUGCAAGUCGAACGGCAGCACGGACUUCGGUCUGGUGGCGAGUGGCGAACGGGUGAGUAAUGUAUCGGAACGCCUAGUAGCGGGGAUAACUACGCGAAAGCGUAGCUAAUACCGCAUACGGCCCUUCGGGGAAAGCGGGGGACCUUCGGGCCUCGCACUAUUAGAGCGGCCGAUAUCGGAUUAGCUAGUUGGUGGGGUAACGGCUCACCAAGGCGACGAUCCGCUGGUUUGAGAGGACGACCAGCCACACUGGGACUGGAGACACGGCCCAGACUCCUACGGGAGGCAGCAGUGGGGGAAUUUUGGACAAUGGGGAAACCCUGAUCCAGCCAUCCCGCGUGCGAUGAAGGCCUUCGGGUUGUAAAGCACUUUUGGCAGGAAAGAAACGGCACGGGAUAAUACCCCGUGCAACUGACGGUACCUGCAGAAUAAGCACCGGCUAACUACGUGCCAGCAGCCGCGGUAAUACGUAGGGUGCAAGCGUUAAUCGGAAUUACUGGGCGUAAAGCGUGCGCAGGCGGUUCGAAAGAAAGAUGUGAAAUCCCAGAGCUUAACUUUGGAACUGCAUUUUUAACUACCGAGCUAGAGUGUGUCAGAGGGAGGUGGAAUUCCGCGUGUAGCAGUGAAAUGCGUAGAUAUGCGGAGGAACACCGAUGGCGAAGGCAGCCUCCUGGGAUAACACUGACGCCUGAUGCACGAAAGCGGGGAGCAAACAGGAUUAGAUACCCUGGUAGUCCACGCCCUAAAACGAUGUCAACUAGCUGCUGGGGCCUUCGGGCCUUGGUAGCGCAGCUAACGCGUGAAGUUGACCGCCUGGGGAGUACGGUCGCAAGAUUAAAACUCAAAGGAAUUGACGGUGACCCGCACAAGCGGUGGAUGAUGUGGAUUAAUUCGAUGCAACGCGAAAACCUUACCUACCUCCUUGACAUGUCUGGAAUCCUGAAGAGAUUUGGGAGUGCUCGCAAGAGAACCGGAACACAGGUGCUGCAUGGCUGUCGUCAGCUCGUGUCGUGAGAUGCUGGGUUAAGUCCCGGGCAACGAGCGCAACCCUUGUCAUUAGUUGCUACGAAAGGGCACUCUAAUGUGAGACUGCCGGUGACAAACCGGAGGAAGGUGGGGAUGACGUCAAGUCCUCAUGGCCCUUAUGGGUAGGGCUUCACACGUCAUACAAUGGUCGGGACAGAGGGUCGCCAACCCGCGAGGGGGAGCCAAUCCCAGAAACCCGAUCGUAGUCCGGAUCGCAGUCUGCAACUCUCGACUGGUGCGUGAAGUCGGAAUCGCUAGUAAUCGCGGAUCAGCAUGUCGCGUGAAUACGUUCCCGGUCUUGUACACACCGCCCGUCACACCAUGGGAGUGGGUUUUACCAGAAGUAGUUAGCCUAACCGGGGUAAGGAGGGCGAUUACCACGGUAGGAUCUGGCGACUGGGGUGAAGUCGUAACAAGGUAG